UACGCACUGUCUGGCGAGCUCCUGCGUUUGCGUUUGCUCUCUCGUUGCCUGCUCGUCUUUUUGCUGUAAUGCCUGCCACCAAAGGAAAGGAGUGGAAUGCUGUUAUCAUUGUUCAGAAAGGAAAGGGAAAGGGAAUCAACAGUGAACAGGACAAACGAGGCUUGACCCGAGCUGCUUCAAAGCCGACUUAAGGGCAGUUGGACCUGUCUUAAAAGAAGUUGAAUACUCUUCAGAUAAAGCAUGUAUGAAUAUCUGUAUCGCUACAACGAGCUGUAUGGCGGCGGUUAUUAGUCCAAAGCUUUUGGAUGUGACAAGUUGUUGGUGAGUACACUCUGUCCGAUGAUAAUGCCUAUGCUUGUUACACUGCUGAAAGACGAUGCUUGGAAACCAAAACCCCUACUAAUACAGCUACUACCCCUGAUCCUAAUCCAGGUUUAACUUUACGCAACACAAAUGGACUUGAACGGCAGCUUUCACAACGCGUCCCUAAGUCUCCACCUCCUGCUGCUGUAAAGUCCUAAAGAGAGAUCACGGUACUUUAGUAUUCAGACAGCAUCUCAUACAUGAUGGAACAACCCACAGAACGUCCCACCAAUUGUUGUUCCAGUGCAACUGCAGCCAGCUAUAAAUGUGCAAGAGGAGCCGUUGUCUUCAAGUUCAGAUCCAACUCUGUUUAAUGUUGUUGUGGACAGUGAGCAGAAUAUUCCAAAUUAUGAAGUAGUGAUGAGUUAUCCCGCGGUGGUCUGAGGGCUCUUGCUAAAUCACUCACCUAAAUCAUGAUGACUAUAGUGUAUAGUGAAAACGUUUGCGCGUCUCCUACCUUUUAAAUUAUAUAUCAAUAUGCACGUUAGUAAUUGUUUGAGAUAUGUUUAGCGCAUACCAGUUCCAUAUAGAGUAGAUAUAAGCAAUCAGGACUGAUAUUGUUUUCUAAAAAUGUUAUAAAACACGGCUCGACUAUAUCAUGCUAUUCAAUCUAUUGUACUUUUUUCUUUUGAGGUUUCUGACUCAGACUGCAGCUCUAUAUAAUAAUGGUUAAAAAGGUCCUGCGAUUUUCGCGUCAUAGCGUAUAAACAGUCGCCGUGUUGAAGUUGAACUGUUACGGUUUCGUAUAGUACUGUCGGGUUGUCAUACUCAUACGUUGUAUGUCGUAUGACCCACCGCGAACGAGUGCGCGGCUCCCCCUGUAUCGUCAGGACGUGAAACGACCGUGGGGGUCACGACGUGAUACAACUGUCGGGUACUAAAUAGGUUGUGAACAAGAAAAAUGCGGCCGCUUUUCUUUUGUGGAUGGCCACUCAAUUUCCCGAUUCGAUCCGUGAUGGCAUA